AAACUAGGAUUAGAUACCCUAUUAUAAAAUAGAGUUAAAUUGAGAGUAAUUUGUAGGUUAUUAUAUAAUAAAAUUUUAGCGGUAUUUUAAGCUUUUUAAAGGAAUUUACUCUAUAAUUGAUAACACUCAAAAAUCUUACUUAGUUUUGUUAGGCAGUUUGUAUAUCGCUAUCAUUAAAUAAUACUUGUUAAAUUAUUAUUAAAAAUUAAUUUAUUUAAGACUGUUAGGUCAAAAUGCAGCUUAAAGCUAAGGUUGAAAUGAAUUACGUUAAUUUUUAUUGGUAUAAGGGGAAAUUUAGGUAAAUAGGAUUUAAAAGUAAAUUAAAGUUAUAAUAUUUAAUUGAAAAAAGCUCUGAAUAUGCACAUAUCGCCGUCACUCUCAGUAUGAGAUAAGUCGUAACAUAG
rnacentral:rRNA from 1 species